UUUACCGAAUAUUGCACCAACGUCUAUAUGGUUGGCAUUAAAUUUUUUUAGAUGCAUGCCAAUUCAAAAAUUAUGCUUUUGUGAUGUACAAAAAUAAAAUUGUGUUUUUGUACCAUUAAUUCAAAUUGAAUAUAGAAAAUAAAGUGGGCUCAUGAAAAUAAUAUUUUAAUGAAAAAUAAGGUGGGUCCAAGAGGAGAGAGAGGGUUCUUAUUUU
rnacentral:lncRNA from 1 species